rnacentral:rRNA from 1 species
UAGGGAAUCUUCCGCAAUGGAUGCAAGUCUGACGGAGCAACGCCGCGUGAGUGAAGAAGGAUUUCGGUUCGUAAAACUCUGUUGUUAGAGAAGAACAGCGCAUAGAGUAACUGUUAUGCGUGUGACGGUAUCUAACCAGAAAGCCACGGCUAACUACGUGCCAGCAGCCGCGGUAAUACGUAGGUGGCAAGCGUUGUCCGGAUUUAUUGGGCGUAAAGCGAGCGCAGGCGGUUAGAUAAGUCUGAAGUUAAAGGCAGUGGCUCAACCAUUGUAGGCUUUGGAAACUGUUUAACUUGAGUGCAGAAGGGGAGAGUGGAAUUCCAUGUGUAGCGGUGAAAUGCGUAGAUAUAUGGAGGAACACCGGUGGCGAAAGCGGCUCUCUGGUCUGUAACUGACGCUGAGGCUCGAAAGCGUGGGGAGCGAACAGG